rnacentral:lncRNA from 1 species
CAAAACGAGGUAAAAAUUCUCCCUUUGGCUUAGAAUUCGAUGUUAAACCCACCUAUGGCCAAAUUAGAGCAAAAACACCGGUCAAUUGGCCGAAAAAUGCCGCCGAAGCCCCUUGGCGCCGCCGCUGGUUUUCUCAAUUUUUGCUUUUGAUGAGGCCCUUCCCGAUUCCUGUUCGAUGUAAUUUUUCAACCAUUGUGACCACCGUUCCCUCCUCUACAGGUUGACCGGAGCAAAACACCAAAUCGCGACUCGAGUCGGAGGAGCCGC